GACGAACCGAGCGAACGUUGUUCGGAAUCACUGGGCUUAAAGGGCGCGUAGGCGGGUGCUCAAGUCCGGGGUGAAAUCCUCCAGCUCAACUGGAGAACUGCCUCGGAUACUGGGUGCCUCGAGUGUGGUAGGGGUGUGCGGAACUAUCGUGGAGCGGUGAAAUGCGUUGAUAUCGAUAGGAACUCCGGUGGCGAAGGCGGCACACUGGACCACAACUGACGCUGAGGCGCGAAAGCCAGGGGAGCAAACGGG
rnacentral:rRNA from 1 species